GCCGGCUUAGCUCAGCGGUAGAGCAGCGGUUUUGUAAACCGUUGGUCGGGGGUUCAAGUCCCUCAGCCGGCACCA
rnacentral:tRNA from 1 species